rnacentral:rRNA from 1 species
UACGGGGGGGGCAAGCGUUGUUCGGAAUUACUGGGCGUAAAGGGCUCGUAGGCGGCCAACUAAGUCAGACGUGAAAUCCCUCGGCUUAACCGGGGAACUGCGUCUGAUACUGGAUGGCUUGAGGUUGGGGAGAGGGAUGCGGAAUUCCAGGUGUAGCGGUGAAAUGCGUAGAUAUCUGGAGGAACACCGGUGGCGAAGGCGGCAUCCCGUGGACCAAUUCUGACGCUGAGGAGCGAAAGCUAGGG